GCUCCGGUAGCAUAGUGGUCAAUGCACCUGUCUUAUAUCGGAGAACUGCUCUGUGUGCACGCAGGAUAUCGUGGGUUCAAACCCCACCCGGAGCA